rnacentral:misc_RNA from 1 species
CCGAGUUUACAACUCCCAAACCCCUGUGAACAUACCUAUACGUUGCCUCGGCGGAUCAGCCCGCGCCCCGUAAAAUAGGGACAGGCCCGCCACGAGGACCCCCCUAAACUCUGUUUUAGUGGAACUUCUGAGUAAACAAACAAAUAAAUCA